GUAACAUCUUACUAAAAUACCACAAAGAGGUGCUCUAAACCCACGGUAGCUAUUGAGAAAAACUGUCAAGAACAGAUGACUGCUGUGAGCUUGCCUCAAGCUUUUAUGUUUAGGUGCUCACUAAUUGGAGUUUCUUUAAAAGCCAUGGUGAAUACUCUGACUAUAGAAAGCUUAGUCUGCUAUCAGAAGUACUGCAUUGCCUGAAGCUGCAUUAAGCAGAACCUCAUCAGCAUUCAGCACCACUGCUAUAGUAUGAAGCCUAGAAGUGGGAAAAAUACCUACUGAAACAUAAGAAGAGAAGAUGAAAAGAGGCCAGUGAGCAGAAAGAAAAUCUCCUUACGUCUGUUCAGAAGCUUCUUUUUUGAUGGAUCCCCCUCCCAAGCAAUGUAGCAAGUGGAAGGUGAUGUGUUCUGCAAAUAGAUCAGUAAUGUCACUUCUAAAAUUGCACAUUUUUGUGAUUCAGAGGGUUAAAGCAAGUCAGGUGAUAGCCAGGCUUUACCAAAGGCUACACUAUAGUAGAAGAGUAUAUAUUAGAUAAUCUAACAGCAAUUACCGUAAAACACCACUGGCUUUGGCUAGAAUCACUGUUACUGUUACAUCCUGCAGUGAACUCCAUCGCUAUCUUAUUUGCUACCUUUUUCACUCCCAGGCAUCAGAAUUAUUUGUCUGGAAUUAUUUUGCUGGCUUUACUUUAUUCCACAGCUUCUCCAAAAACUGAAUGAUUGUUAGCUCUUCAACAGCUCUGAGACAUUCAGAGAUCUUAGGGAAAAUAUAUAUAUUAGAUUUUAUUUUGAAAGGUACUGCAAAAUGUAUUAAAUAAAUGAUGAGAUAUCCAUU